rnacentral:rRNA from 1 species
GACGAACCGUGCGAACGUUGUUCGGAAUCACUGGGCUUAAAGGGCGCGUAGGCGGGCUGUCCAGUCUGGGGUGAAAUCCCACGGCUCAACCGUGGAACUGCCUCAGAUACUGACGGCCUCGAGGGAGAUAGGGGCAUGCGGAACUGUAGGUGGAGCAGUGAAAUGCGUAGAUAUCGAGAGGAACACCAGUGGCGAAGGCGAGUCCCUGGACGACUCCUGACACUGAGGCACGAAAGCUAGGGGAGCAAACAGG